UCCCACCGGCCGUAACAUUUCUCCCCGUCGUUCCCCAUUCUUCCUUGGUCGUCGCCAGCUCCCUCUCCCCGUCACCUCAGGCCACCCCUCCCCUUCGUACCCACUGCCACCUCGAGAUUCGCAAACCCCUUCUCUUCCCCGCCUUUUCGUCGAAUCCAGCCGCCCAAGUGGCGGAGGAGGUCCCCGAGCUCGGCAUGCACGGGAGCAUCCCAGCGCUAGGCUCCGUCGGAGGUGCGGGACUUCCACGCCCCUGCUCUUCCCCGUCCUUCUUCGAAUCUGCUCGCCGAAGUGCCGAAGGAUGCGCUCGAGCUCAGCAUGCUCACGGGCGACCCAGCGCGGAUGCCCGCAACAAGACAACAAGGAGCGGGCCUGGGUGCGCAAAAAUAUAUGGGCACAGUUCGAUGCCUCCACUGGCGUGCCUUUGUUUGAUGUGCUAUUCAAGAUCCCUGUACAAUUGUGUUAUUCAAGAUACAAUGGCACUCGAUGAUGCUUGCUAAGAAGGUCUGCAGUACCCACUGGACUGUAGCUUGCCAGAUGACUGGAAGAUGGAUAAAAUUUGGACCAUGGCUCGGUAUGGUCAAUUGGAGAAGACAUUACUAUGACUACAAAGAUCUGUUUUUUCAGGUGAUGAAUUGUAACCUUAUAUUCUUUAUUACUUGGAAUUGAAAAUCACUGGAAGC